rnacentral:rRNA from 1 species
GUAGGGUGCGAGCGUUAAUCGGAAUUACUGGGCGUAAAGUGUGCGCAGGUGGCCGCGCAAGUCGAGUGUGAAAUCCCCGAGCUUAACUUGGGAAUUGCGCUCGAAACUACGUGGCUCGAGUGUGGCAGAGGAAGGUGGAAUUCCACGUGUAGCGGUGAAAUGCGUAGAGAUGUGGAGGAACACCGAUGGCGAAGGCAGCCUUCUGGGCCAACACUGACGCUCAUGCACGAAAGCGUGGGGAGCAACCAGGAUUAGAUACCCUGGUAGUCCACGCCCUAAACGAUGAUGACUAGUUGUUGGGGGAGUUAAAUCCCUUAGUAACGCAGCUAACGCGUGAAGUCAUCCGCCUGGGGAGUACGGUCGCAAGAUUA